UACGUAGGGUGCGAGCGUUGUCCGGAAUUAUUGGGCGUAAAGAGCUCGUAGGCGGCCUGUCGCGUCGGAUGUGAAAGCCCGGGGCUUAACCCCGGGUCUGCAUUCGAUACGGGCAGGCUAGAGUGUGGUAGGGGAGAUCGGAAUUCCUGGUGUAGCGGUGAAAUGCGCAGAUAUCAGGAGGAACACCGGUGGCGAAGGCGGAUCUCUGGGCCAUUACUGACGCUGAGGAGCGAAAGCGUGGGGGAGCGAACAGG
rnacentral:rRNA from 1 species